AUUGAACGCUGGCGGAAUGCUUUACACAUGCAAGUCGAACGGCAGCACGGACUUCGGUCUGGUGGCGAGUGGCGAACGGGUGAGUAAUGUAUCGGAACGUGCCCAGUCGUGGGGGAUAACGUAGUGAAAAUUACGCUAAUACCGCAUACGAUCUAUGGAUGAAAGCGGGGGAUCGCAAGACCUCGCGCGAUUGGAGCGGCCGAUAUCAGAUUAGGUAGUUGGGGGGGUAAAGGCCCACCAAGCCAACGAUCUGUAGCUGGUCUGAGGGGACGACCAGCCACACUGGAGCUGAGACACGGUCCAGACUCCUACGGGAGGCAGCAGUGGGGAAUUUUGGACAAUGGGCGAAAGCCUGAUCCAGCCAUUCCGCGUGCAGGAUGAAGGCCCUCGGGUUGUAAACUGCUUUUGUACAGAACGAAAAGGUUUCUACUAAUACUAGGAGCUCAUGACGGUACUGUAAGAAUAAGCACCGGCUAACUACGUGCCAGCCGCCGCCGUAA
rnacentral:rRNA from 1 species